rnacentral:rRNA from 1 species
GACGAACGCUGGCGGCGUGCUUAACACAUGCAAGUCGAACGGAAAGGCCCUGCUUUUGUGGGGUGCUCGAGUGGCGAACGGGUGAGUAACACGUGAGUAACCUGCCCUUGACUUUGGGAUAACUUCAGGAAACUGGGGCUAAUACCGGAUAUGAGCUCCUGCUGCAUGGUGGGGGUUUGAAAGUUUCGGCGGUUGGGGAUGGACUCGCGGCUUAUGAGCUUGUUGGUGGGGUAGUGGCUUACCAAGGCUUUGACGGGUAGCCGGCCUGAGAGGGUGACCGGCCACAUUGGGACUGAGAUACGGCCCAGACUCCUACGGGAGGCAGCAGUGGGGAAUAUUGCACAAUGGGCGGAAGCCUGAUGCAGCAACGCCGCGUGCGGGAUGACGGCCUUCGGGUUGUAAACCGCUUUCGCCUGUGACGAAGCGUGAGUGACGGUAAUGGGUAAAGAAGCACCGGCUAACUACGUG